AAUGAACGCUGGCGGCGUGCUUAACACAUGCAAGUCGAGCGAGAAAGUUCCUUCGGGAAUGAGUACAGCGGCAGACGGGUGAGUAAUACAUGGGAAUCUGCCUUUGAGUGAAGGAUACCUUUGAGAAAUCAAAGUUAAUACUGCAUACUUCCUUAGGGAAAAAGAUGGCUUUUAUGCUGUCGCUUAGAGAUGAGCCCAUGCGCGAUUAGCUUGUUGGUGGGGUAAAAGCUUACCAAGGCGAUGAUGGCUAGCCGGCCUGAGAGGGUGAACGGCCACACUGGAACUGAGACACGGUCCAGACUCCUACGGGAGGCAGCAGUGAGGAAUAUUGCACAAUGGGCGAAAGCCUGAUCCAACAAUGCCGCGUGCAGGAUGAAGGCCUUCGGGUUGUAAACUGCUUUUGUACGGAACGAAACGGCCCUUUCUAAUACAGGGGGCUAAUGACGGUACCGUAAGAAUAAGCACCGGCUAACUACGUGCCAGCAGCCGCGGUAA
rnacentral:rRNA from 1 species